GCUCCGCUACUGCUCUAUUUCUACUACUGGUAUCAAAGCAAAGAUGUCUAAAUUGAGAUGAUGGUGUCAAUUGUCUAGUUGUCAUGUGAGAUCAUAGCAUGAAAUUUUUCUAAAAAAUCCUCUAUUACUUCCCCAAUUUUAUUUUUCUCACUCUAAGAUCCCUCAUCUCCCUUGCUACCUAGAAGGAUAAUUAUAACACACGAAAACACCUGUAGCUAAGACUAUGCAAAUAUACUACCUCCAUUCCAAAUUAUAAAAUGUUUUAGCUUUUUUUAGAUACCUAGCUUUUACUAUGCACUAAGAUAUACGCUAUAUCUAGAUACAUCGUAAAAGCAAUGAAUCAAGAAAAGCCGAAAUUGUCUUAUAAUUUGGAACGAAACGAGUAUAUGUCAAAAAAAAGAGGUUAAAACAAAUAUCAGAUCAAAUAUCAAAUUAGAAAAAUACCUUGACCUUGUCUGCCAUGAAUUGCAUAAACUCAACAAUGGAUAUCUUCCCAGUCUCAACUAAUAGUUUUUAUAGCUCGCCCUCACUGAAGUUGUCACCCAAUAUUUCCAAGAUGCCCCUUGCUUCUUCCUGGGUAAUACAUCCUAUAUCCAUGAUAAUUGACAAUUUAAAACAGAACUAAACCCAACCAAU
rnacentral:lncRNA from 1 species